rnacentral:rRNA from 1 species
GGGGAGCACCAAAUUGCUGGUCUGAUCAGUGGCGAACGGGUGANUAACACGUGAGCAACCUGCCCCUGACUCUGGGAUAACGACCGGAAACGGUCGCUAAUACCGGAUAUGAGACGUACAGGCAUCUGUUGCGUCUGGAAAGUUUUUCGGUCAGGGAUGGGCUCGCGGCCUAUCAGCUUGUUGGUGGGGUAACGGCCUACCAAGGCGACGACGGGUAGCCGGCCUGAGAGGGCGACCGGCCACACUGGGACUGAGACACGGCCCANACUCCUACGGGAGGCAGCAGUGGGGAAUAUUGCACAAUGGGCGCAAGCCUGAUGCAGCGACGCCGCGUGAGGGAUGACGGCCUUCGGGUUGUAAACCUCUUUCAGCAGGGAAGAAGCGCAAGUGACGGUACCUGCAGAAGAAGCGCCGGCUAACUACGUGCCAGCAGCCGCGGUAAUACGUAGGGCGCAAGCGUUGUCCGGAAUUAUUGGGCGUAAAGAGCUCGUAGGCGGUUUGUCGCGUCUGCUGUGAAAACCUCAGGCUCAACCUGGGGCUUGCAGUGGGUACGGGCAGACUAGAGUGCGGUAGGGGUGACUGGAAUUCCUGGUGUAGCGGUGGAAUGCGCANAUAUCAGGAGGAACACCGAUGGCGAAGGCAGGUCACUGGGCCGCAACUGACGCUGAGGAGCGAAAGCAUGGGGAGCGAACAGGAUUAGAUACCCUGGUAGUCCAUGCCGUAAACGUUGGGCACUAGGUGUGGGGCUCAUUCCACGAGCUCUGUGCCGCAGCAAACGCAUUAAGUGCCCCGCCUGGGGAGUACGGCCGCAAGGCUAAAACUCAAAGAAAUUGACGGGGGCCCGCACAAGCGGCGGA